CUUCUCUCUCCAAAACCAGUAUCCCUGGGUUUUGUCUGCCUUCCUGUUCAGUUCUCAAGUGCCAGGUGCCAGUACCCUCAGCAGAUAUUGUGAGGUGCCGGUACUCUGAAGAGAAAAACAAAGAGCUGCUGGUGCUGCAUAACUGUGAAAUAUGGCCCAUAGUUAUGACUCCAAAUGAUCAGUGGACGUCUCUGCCUGUGACUGCAAGCUGCCUGUAGUCAGACUGAUACACAGGACCUGGUUUCCUUACAGCCAUAAACAUCUAAGCAAUGGCUCACCAAGAGGUUUGGCUACAGCAUUUCGGCAUUUGAUGCAUUUUGUCCAUAAAUACCAGACACUGAACGGCAGGGAAGCUUAAGCUGAGUAGCGAUUUUCAGCUGAAGGUUGCUGAACAUAUCAGACAAAAAGCUCCCUCUCCACAGUGCUCUUCCCCAGGCUACUCCCGUACUGUACCGCCCUACACCAAAUGGUACAGAUGGGCUGCAACAGAAUAACUUAAUCUAAAAUAUGUAUAAUUAUA